rnacentral:rRNA from 1 species
CAGCAGCCGCCGCGGUAAUACGGAGGGUGCAAGCGUUAAUCGGAAUUACUGGGCGUAAAGCGCACGCAGGCGGUCUGACAAGUCAGAUGUGAAAUCCCCGGGCUUAACCUGGGAACUGCAUUUGAAACUGUCAGGCUGGAGUCUUGUAGAGGGGGGUAGAAUUCCAGGUGUAGCGGUGAAAUGCGUAGAGAUCUGGAGGAAUACCGGUGGCGAAGGCGGCCCCCUGGACAAAGACUGACGCUCAGGUGCGAAAGCGUGGGGAGCAAACAGGAUUAGAUACCCCAGUAGUCCCUGUCUCUUAUAA